UGUUCUGUAAAGUAGAUGGAACACUAAAUUAGCAAAUACCGAGCCAUUAUUUCUAGGGAGAAUACAGGAUUUUAGGAUUAGAUUUCCAUGAGCCCCUGGUCACAUUUUUUUUUUUCAACUGAUCAGUACCUAACCUUGUUUUAGUGUAUUUCUGUUCAGAUCCCUUAUUUAAUAUGCAUUGCUGAUUCAAAAUGAAUGUACCUGUUCUAACACACCUGUUUUCUCUGUGUGGGACAACACGGCCCUCUUACAGUUAGGAACACUAGAAAGCACUUCAGCUCUGUCCUCUGGGCCAUUUAAAAUAGUGAAGUCACUAACAAAAAGCACAAACUUGUAAAAAGCCCAGCACUAAAUGGACCGCAGAAAGGACGCUUGCUAACUGUGCGAGCUGAGAGGAAGGCGGAGCGCCGCCAUGCGGGACGUGAGCUAGGAACUUGCACGUGGGGCCACUCUGCACAAGUCCAUUAGCGACUGGGAAAGCACGGUGAACGCUGAUUGGGAGUUAAAAUACAUUUUAUUGAGCAGGCGCAUUGGCAAAUCCUGGAUCAGUGAGGACGGAGGGCAGCACCAACGACCCUGGAUUAUCGCAAGUAUUGACAAGCAGACUGGGGAAGUCUCAGCAUAUGUUGUUUGAAAGGAGGACACCCAGGUCAAACCCACCCCACAGUGCCAGUUUGAGAGCCCCUGAGCUGGAGAUGGGAGAUUGGUGUUCUAACCUCUGCCUGUCCAGUCACCUUGCUGUGUGACUUUGGACAAGUCACUUUCCUGUUCUGGGCUUCUGUUUCUCCUGGAUGCAGCAAAGGGGAAAUCGUCCCAGGGAGGGACCUGUCACAGGGCCACUUCCUUGCACAUCUCUGACAUGCAUGGAGACCCGUGGAGGCCAGCAGUGUGGCAGAAUUGGCCCUCCGAGACGCUGGUCUGGGGUCCCAGAUCCCUGGCCUUGGUCUCCCCAUCAGGCUCCCUGUAGGCUUAAGCCAGAAGGUAACUCAUAUCAAAUGACUGCAGCAUCCUGACCACCUCAGCCACUCAUCCCUGAGUCCUCGGAGGGUCCAGCACCACCAGCAUCUUUACCACACUUGCACUAAUACCACCUAAGCUGGCACUCGUUCUUUCAGCUGCUAUACACCAUCUCUAGUAAGGAAUCAGUUUAUGGGUUAUUAGAACCAUGGAGAAUUUCAGCAAGAACCCGCUGUCAAACCGAGUAUUUCCUGUGCUUAGCCAAUUGCCUAUUUGAACUUAAAUGGAAAACUGUACAUUUUUGUCUGUUAAUUUUCACCUUUAUGCAUUCAGCCUAUUUUUCAUAGCCUAGUAAAUGUUUUUCCAGUCUA